rnacentral:misc_RNA from 1 species
GAUGAAGAACGUAGCGAAAUGCGAUAAGUAAUGUGAAUUGCAGAAUUCAGUGAAUCAUCGAAUCUUUGAACGCACAUUGCGCCCGCCAGUAUUCUGGCGGGCAUGCCUGUUCGAGCGUCAUUUCAACCCUCAAGCCCAGCUUGGUGUUGGGGUUCGGCACAGGCGCCCUCGGGCGCCAGCCGUCCCCUAAAUCUAGUGGCGGUCCCGCUGCAGCCUCCUCUGCGUAGUAGUUUUCUCCUCGCAAGGGCAGCUCGGUGGCGACCUCGCCGUAAAACCCCCAACUUCUGAAAGGUUGACCUCGAAUCAGGUAGGAAUACCCGCUGAACUUAAGCAUAUCAAUAAGCGGAGGA